rnacentral:rRNA from 1 species
AUGGUUGUCGUCAGCUCGUGUCGUGAGAUGUUGGGUUAAGUCCCGCAACGAGCGCAACCCCUAUUGUUAGUUGCCAUCAUUCAGUUGGGCACUCUAGCGAGACUGCCGGUAAUAAACCGGAGGAAGGUGGGAUGACGUCAAAUCAUCAUGCCCCUUAUGACCUGGGCUACACACGUGCUACAAUGGUUGGUACAACGAGUUGCGAGUCGGUGACGGCGAGCUAAUCUCUUAAAGCCAAUCUCAGUUCGGAUUGUAGGCUGCAACUCGCCUACAUGAAGUCGGAAUCGCUAGUAAUCGCGGAUCAGCACGCCGCGGUGAAUACGUUCCCGGGCCUU